rnacentral:rRNA from 1 species
UACACUCCUACGGGAGGCAGCAGUGGGGAAUUUUGGACAAUGGGGGCAACCCUGAUCCAGCAAUGCCGCGUGAGUGAAGAAGGCCUUCGGGUUGUAAAGCUCUUUUGUCAGGGAAGAAACGGUGGUGGCGAAUAACUACUACUAAUGACGGUACCUGAAGAAUAAGCACCGGCUAACUACGUGCCAGCAGCCGCGGUAAUACGUAGGGUGCAAGCGUUAAUCGGAAUUACUGGGCGUAAAGCGUGCGCAGGCGGUUGUGUAAGUCAGAUGUGAAAUCCCCGGGCUCAACCUGGGAAUUGCAUUUGAGACUGCACGGCUAGAGUGUGUCAGAGGGGGGUAGAAUUCCACGUGUAGCAGUGAAAUGCGUAGAUAUGUGGAGGAAUACCGAUGGCGAAGGCAGCCCCCUGGGAUAACACUGACGCUCAUGCACGAAAGCGUGGGGAGCAAACAGGAUUAGAAACCCUAGUAGUCCC